AGACCCGAAACCCGGUGAUCUAGCCAUGGGCAGGUUGAAGGUUGGGUAACACUAACUGGAGGACCGAACCGACUAAUGUUGAAAAAUUAGCGGAUGACCUGUGGCUGGGGGUGAAAGGCCAAUCAAACCGGGAGAUAGCUGGUUCUCCCCGAAAGCUAUUUAGGUAGCGCCUCGUGAAUUCAUCUCCGGGGGUAGAGCACUGUUUCGGCUAGGGGGCCAUCCCGGCUUACCAACCCGAUGCAAACUGCGAAUACCGGAGAAUGUUAUCACGGGAGACACACGGCGGGUGCUAACGUCCGUCGUGAAGAGGGAAACAACCCAGACCGCCAGCUAAGGUCCCAAAGUCAUGGUUAAGUGGGAAACGAUGUGGGAAGGCCCAGACAGCCAGGAUGUUGGCUUAGAAGCAGCCAUCAUUUAAAGAAAGCGUAAUAGCUCACUGGUCGAGUCGGCCUGCGCGGAAGAUGUAACGGGGCUAAACCAUGCACCGAAGCUGCGGCAGCGACGCUUAUGCGUUGUUGGGUAGGGGAGCGUUCUGUAAGCCUGCGAAGGUGGCCUGUGAGGGUUGCUGGAGGUAUCAGAAGUGCGAAUGCUGACAUAAGUAACGAUAAAGCGGGUGAAAAGCCCGCUCGCCGGAAGACCAAGGGUUCCUGUCCAACGUUAAUCGGGGCAGGGUGAGUCGACCCCUAAGGCGAGGCCGAAAGGCGUAGUCGAUGGGAAACGGGUUAAUAUUCCCGUACUUGGUGUUACUGCGAAGGGGGGACGGAGAAGGCUAUGUUGGCCGGGCGACGGUUGUCCCGGUUUAAGCGUGUAGGUGUGUGUUCCAGGUAAAUCCGGUUCACUUUAACACUGAGGCGUGACGACGAGGCACUACGGUGCUGAAGCAACAAAUGCCCUGCUUCCAGGAAAAGCCUCUAAGCAUCAGGUAACAUCAAAUCGUACCCCAAACCGACACAGGUGGUCAGGUAGAGAAUACCAAGGCGCUUGAGAGAACUCGGGUGAAGGAACUAGGCAAAAUGGUGCCGUAACUUCGGGAGAAGGCACGCUGACACGUAGGUGAAGUGAUUUACUCAUGGAGCUGAAGUCAGUCGAAGAUACCAGCUGGCUGCAACUGUUUAUUAAAAACACAGCACUGUGCAAACACGAAAGUGGACGUAUACGGUGUGACGCCUGCCCGGUGCCGGAAGGUUAAUUGAUGGGGUCAGCGCAAGCGAAGCUCCUGAUCGAAGCCCCGGUAAACGGCGGCCGUAACUAUAACGGUCCUAAGGUAGCGAAAUUCCUUGUCGGGUAAGUUCCGACCUGCACGAAUGGCGUAAUGAUGGCCAGGCUGUCUCCACCCGAGACUCAGUGAAAUUGAACUCGCUGUGAAGAUGCAGUGUACCCGCGGCAAGACGGAAAGACCCCGUGAACCUUUACUAUAGCUUGACACUGAACAUUGAGCCUUGAUGUGUAGGAUAGGUGGGAGGCUUUGAAGUGUGGACGCCAGUCUGCAUGGAGCCGACCUUGAAAUACCACCCUUUAAUGUUUGAUGUUCUAACGUGGACCCGUUACCCGGGUUGCGGACAGUGUCUGGUGGGUAGUUUGACUGGGGCGGUCUCCUCCUAAAGAGUAACGGAGGAGCACGAAGGUUGGCUAAUCCUGGUCGGACAUCAGGAGGUUAGUGCAAUGGCAUAAGCCAGCUUGACUGCGAGCGUGACGGCGCGAGCAGGUGCGAAAGCAGGUCAUAGUGAUCCGGUGGUUCUGAAUGGAAGGGCCAUCGCUCAACGGAUAAAAGGUACUCCGGGGAUAACAGGCUGAUACCGCCCAAGAGUUCAUAUCGACGGCGGUGUUUGGCACCUCGAUGUCGGCUCAUCACAUCCUGGGGCUGAAGUAGGUCCCAAGGGUAUGGCUGUUCGCCAUUUAAAGUGGUACGCGAGCUGGGUUUAGAACGUCGUGAGACAGUUCGGUCCCUAUCUGCCGUGGGCGCUGGAGAACUGAGGGGGGCUGCUCCUAGUACGAGAGGACCGGAGUGGACGCAUCACUGGUGUUCGGGUUGUCAUGCCAAUGGCACUGCCCGGUAGCUAAAUGCGGAAGAGAUAAGUGCUGAAAGCAUCUAAGCACGAAACUUGCCCCGAGAUGAGUUCUCCCUGAGACUUAGAGUCU
rnacentral:rRNA from 1 species